UACGGAGGGGGCUAGCGUUGUUCGGAAUUACUGGGCGUAAAGCGCACGUAGGCGGCUUUGUAAGUUAGAGGUGAAAGCCCGGGGCUCAACCCCGGAACUGCCUUUAAGACUGCAUCGCUUGAAUCCAGGAGAGGUGAGUGGAAUUCCGAGUGUAGAGGUGAAAUUCGUAGAUAUUCGGAGGAACACCAGUGGCGAAGGCGGCUCACUGGACCAUUACUGACGCUGAGGUGCGAAAGCGUGGGGAGCAAACAGG
rnacentral:rRNA from 1 species